rnacentral:lncRNA from 1 species
GGUGUUUCCAGGGGAGAUUGCUGUGAGUCAGUGGGCUGAGUGGGAAACAUCCACCCUCAAUGUGGCAGGCAUCAUCCAAUCAUUGUGGGUCCUGGUGGAACGAAAAAAGGGAGAAAAGGAUUUCCUCCCUUUCUCUCUGUCCUGGAGCUGGGACACUCUCCUCCUCCUGCUCUUGGUGAUCAGAACCCUGGCUCUCUGGCUUUGGGACUCCAGGACCCAUACCAGUGGUCCUCUGACCAGUGGAAGUAUUCUCAGGCCUUUGGUCUUGGACUGAGAAUUACACCAUUGGCAUCCGUGGUUCCAAAGCCUUCAGACUUGGACUGAGCCAUGCUGCUACUGGCAUCCCAGGGUCUCCAGCUUGCAGACAGCCUGUAGUGGGAACGGCCUGUAGUGGGACUUCUCCGCCUCCAUAAUCACGAACCAGUGGUCUCUGCUGCUCCGUGUUACGUCAAACAGCCUCUCUCACGGAACUGAAUAUGGAGGCAAAUAACUCAAGGAUGAAAAAUGACUGUAGUUAUGAGUUUCUAGAAGAAACCACAGAGAUGAGGUGCUCUUCUUACAACAUUAGAGCAAAGCAACAUGGUAUCAGCAAGUUCACCUGGAUUUUUUUUUUUUGUUUUGACACAGAGUCUCUCCCUGUCACUCAGGCUGGAAUACAGCAGCAUGAUCUCGGCUCACUGCAACCUCUGCCUCCUGGGUUCAAGCGAUUCUCCUGCCGCAGCCUCCUAAAUAGCUGGGAUUACAGGCGCCUGCUACCAAGCCCGGCUAGUUUUUGUACUUUUAGUAGAGAUGGGGUUUUGCCAUGUUGGCCAGGCUGGUCUUUAACACCUGGCCUCAAGUUAUUCGCCCGCCUCGGCCUCCCAAAGUGCUGGGAUUACAGGUGUGAGCCACCACGCCUGAACUCACCUGGAUUAUUUGAUUAAGGUGAUGUCUACCAGGUGUCGCCACGGGAGUUUUUUUUUUUUUUUUAAAGGACACUUUUUUACCUUAAUGGAUGCUCACCGACUAUGAGCCAGAAAAAAAAGAAAAACAGAAUGAAAGAAUGUGUAUGAAAUGUAAAUCCAUCAGUGAUGAUGAAAUCUAGCAGCAAAGUAUGAUUAGAGAUAUGACAAUGUUUUCUGAUUCUCUGGAAACGGAACCUGCCUUAUAACGUACAAGUCUUUAACUUUAGGGGAUGUUUUUAAGAAAGUAUACAUAGGCACUGCCUGUGCCGACUGGGUGUUCUCAUUCUGCCUGGCUCCCA